rnacentral:lncRNA from 1 species
AUGAAUCACUUACUCAUCUGUUCACAUAGCUAGUGAACCAUCAACCUAGAUAUCAACAUUCACAUAUUCUCAAUCAUCAUCCACAAUCAAUCAUCAAUUAUAAACAACUCAUCAUGCAAUAAAUUGGAACCAUUAUCCAAAUAUGUGUACAGCUAAGCAUAGAAUCCAAAAUAAAUUUAACCUAUUCUACUAAUUCAAAGUACAAAGAAAAAGAAAAAGAAA